rnacentral:rRNA from 1 species
ACGAACGCUGGCGGCGUGCUUAACACAUGCCAGUCGAACGGUAAGGCCCUUUCGGGGGUACACGAGUGGCGAACGGGUGAGUAACACGUGGGUGAUCUGCCCUGCACUUUGGGAUAAGCCUGGGAAACUGGGUCUAAUACCGGAUAGGACUACGCGAUGCAUGUCGUGUGGUGGAAAGCUUUUGCGGUGUGGGAUGGGCCCGCGGCCUAUCAGCUUGUUGGUGGGGUGAUGGCCUACCAAGGCGACGACGGGUAGCCGGCCUGAGAGGGUGUCCGGCCACACUGGGACUGAGAUACGGCCCAGACUCCUACGGGAGGCAGCAGUGGGGAAUAUUGCACAAUGGGCGCAAGCCUGAUGCAGCGACGCCGCGUGGGGGAUGACGGCCUUCGGGUUGUAAACCCCUUUCAGCACAGACGAAGCGUAAGUGACGGUAGGUGCAGAAGAAGCACCGGCCAACUACGUG